rnacentral:rRNA from 1 species
GACAGAGGGUGCAAACGUUGUUCGGAAUUACUGGGCGUAAAGCGCGUGUAGGCGGCUCGGAAAGUUGGAUGUGAAAGCCCGGAGCUCAACUCCGGAAGCGCACUCGAAACUCCCGAGCUGGAGUCCUGGAGAGGAAGGCGGAAUUCUCGGUGUAGAGGUGAAAUUCGUAGAUAUCGAGAGGAACACCGGUGGCGAAGGCGGCCUUCUGGACAGUGACUGACGCUGAGACGCGAAAAGCGUGGGGAGCAAACAGG